rfam:Pontibacillus chungwhensis BH030062 contig17, whole genome shotgun sequence.
GCCGACCUAGCUCAAUCUGGCAGAGCAACUGACUUGUAAUCAGUAGGUUGGGGGUUCGAGUCCCUCGGUCGGCA